UACGGAGGGUGCGAGCGUUGUCCGGAAUCAUUGGGCGUAAAGGGCGCGUAGGUGGCCACUUCAAGCGUGCGGUGAAAGUCGGGGGCUCAACCCCUGAUCGGCCGUGCGAACUGGGGGGCUGGAGCACUGUAGAGGCAGGCGGAAUUCCGGGUGUAGCGGUGGGAAUGCGUAGAGAUCCGGAAGAACACCGGUGGCGAAGGCGGCCUGCUGGGCAGUUUUGCUGACACUGAGGCGCGACAGCGUGGGGGAGCAAACAGG
rnacentral:rRNA from 1 species